CGCGGGGCAACCUGGCGGCGAGCGGCGGACGGGUGAGGAAUACAUCGGAAUCUACCUUCUUGUGGGGGAUAACGUAGGGAAACUUACGCUAAUACCGCAUACGACCUGAGGGUGAAAGCAGGGGACCGCAAGGCCUUGCGCGAGAAGAUGAGCCGAUGUCCGAUUAGCUAGUUGGUGAGGUAAAGGCUCACCAAGGCGACGAUCGGUAGCUGGUCUGAGAGGAUGAUCAGCCACACUGGAACUGAGACACGGUCCAGACACCUACGGGAGGCAGCAGUGGGGAAUAUUGGACAAUGGGCGCAAGCCUGAUCCAGCCAUGCCGCGUGUGUGAAGAAGGCCUUCGGG
rnacentral:rRNA from 1 species